AGGGCGGGGUUAGGGGGAGCAGUCGGUAGCAGCACCUGCCCCUCAUACGGCAGAAGCGAGAAGUGCCAGCCUCUCUGCACAGAGCAGCAGCGUUCAGCAUGGGCCAGACGUGCUGCGGUUAUGGCAGGAGGACGUCACGGCCAAUGUGAUGCGCCAGCUCCGUAUCAUGCGGCACUUGCACCAGGUGCCCGAGGCGCUGCAGGGCCUGUGCCUCUGAGGCCACCAGCAACUCCCGCUCCCUGCUGCAGGACUGGAGCACUCCUCAGUAUGUAGCAGCCUCAUGCCCACGUUCCUGAGCCCAAGGCCUGCAGACAACCCGAGGGACUUGGCCCCCAGCCCAGAGAAUGCCCUGGAGCGGUGAGGAACAUGCGUUUAGUGUUGAUUGUUUUGUAUGAUCUGCGCUCUCCUGUGCUCUACGUGAUGAAGUAUAAAAGUGCAUUAAUGUG